GGGGUUGUGGCUCAAUGGUAGAGUGCUCACCUAGCAUGUGUGAGGCCUUGGGUUUGAUCCUCAGCACCA
rnacentral:tRNA from 1 species